rnacentral:lncRNA from 1 species
UGGCGUAAAAAUAAAAUAAAUAUAUUCCUGUCCUAUAGAAAUGAAAAUAUAAAAAUAAAUUUAUGAUCCUACCAAAGAGAGUAAUAUUUAUUAGAGGAAGCUCAACAUGAUAAAGGCGAAGAGAUUUUAUGCUAACACUUAACCAGUUCCACAAAGCUUUGUUGUCUAUUUGAGCUCCACAGAAUUCAAGGAUCAAAGAAGACUAGC